UGUAAACUUUGGUUCACAAGUUUAUGUAUAUAAAUUUGUUUUGUGAAUUCACAUUUCAUCCUGCAGUCUGAAGUAGGACACUUUGAAUGCAGUGUCACUGACUUGCACUGGGUCUGUAAGGAAAAGGCCAGCUUUAAGUACCACUUCUGCUCUUGGGGAGGACACAUGGAGAGGAUGGAAAGCAGACAGUACAUGCCAGCAGGUCCCCUUAUGGACCUCUCAGUCAUCGCUGGGAAGGUCAGUGAAGUGUACCUGCAGCACUGGCUCUGCAUAAAGGACGACCCUAAAAUAUUGGACAAGUUUGCCAUCCUCCACAUAGAUGACUGUGGAGAUGUUUUGGAAAAAGCGUCUGAGGUCACAGCAUCACACGUCAAGUUAACUGAGCCAGUUCUCUCUCUCUCUCAAGAGUGGUCCUGAUGAAAAUGGGCUUCCUGUGAAAAUCAAAUGUAACAUGUUAAUGCAUUAUAAACCCAACACAUGGUUCCUGAAGCUCCAUGUCUUUGUGGUCCCUAUUGAUCCUGCUCUACAACAGACAGUGGACAAAAAGAAAGUGUCCAGCGGAUACAAAGAAAUCACAAAGCCACGGCCGGACAAGCCCCUGAAAAUGCAGCAUGGUUUCAGCCUCACAGCUGGUAUAGAGACAGCAAAAAUUCAACCAAAGAAAAUAACCCUCCGUUAUGAUGGCCAAGACCCAAACUUCAUGAAGUGUUCAUUGAGAAACCAGACAGAGAGUUUAACAUGACACUACACACUUCCUACAAGAAGAGUGAAGCAGUUUGGACCUGUGAAAUUCGAAGAGGUCAGUGAUUAUUGAAUUUAUCAU